rnacentral:rRNA from 1 species
GAAUCCCUACGGGACGCAGCAGUGAGGAAUAUUGGUCAAUGGGCGGAAGCCUGAACCAGCCAAGUCGCGUGAGGGAAUAAGGCCCUACGGGUCGUAAACCUCUUUUGCCGGGGAGCAAGGGCCGGGACGCGUCCCGGCCCGGAGAGUACCCGGAGAAAAAGCAUCGGCUAACUCCGUGCCAGCAGCCGCGGUAAUACGGAGGAUGCGAGCGUUAUCCGGAUUUAUUGGGUUUAAAGGGUGCGUAGGCGGGCUUUUAAGUCAGCGGUAAAAAUUCGG